AUGAGGUUUGGCCAGUUUUGCGACUUUCGUCCAAAUGUUUGUUUUUCUGCAUCUAGAUCCAAAGGUUUGAAAUCUUGCCAUUCCAUCCGGCUCGUUAACUCCAUCCAUUUUUCUCCGUUUAGGCAGAGAAUUCGGAACAACAAUUAGAAAGGAAAAAAAAAGGUGAACCUAUAAGGACAUCAAAGUGGCGCUAAUUACCCACCUCGUUUUCAAUCUUCAUAGCUUCCAACAAACCUUGUUACAUUACAUACUCAUCGUCUUCUCUCCCCAUUAAUUCACCAUCAUUUUAGCGUAGGAGUUGUCGUCCUCAACAAUUGCUACUCAAUCAACCGAUGACAGAUCACCACCCUUAAGGUAAAUAUUAUUCACACCACACCACCGAAAGACCGGAGCGGGCCCAAAAGAAGCCGAACAAUUACAUCAAAUUGAAAGAACACCAAUUGGCCCAACUAAUGGCUUUAUUUUUAGAUCUAUUUCUAUACCAAAGGAAUCCAAGGCUUCUAAUGUCUAAAAAAAUGUCAUGAGCCGUCUUAAGAACAUUAUUAAAUCUCUUGUUAUUACGGGCCCUCCAUAUUAAUAGACAAUGUAUAAUAGGAAACAGUAUUUGU
rnacentral:lncRNA from 1 species